UACGAAGGGGGCUAGCGUUGCUCGGAAUCACUGGGCGUAAAGGGUGCGUAGGCGGGUCUUUAAGGCAUGGGUGAAAUCCUGGAGCUCAACUCCAGAACUGCCUUUGAUACUGAAGAUCUUGAGUUCGGGAGAGGUGAGUGGAACUGCGAGUGUAGAGGUGAAAUUCGUAGAUAUUCGCAAGAACACCAGUGGCGAAGGCGGCUCACUGGCCCGAUACUGACGCUGAGGCACGAAAGCGUGGGGAGCAAACAGG
rnacentral:rRNA from 1 species